UCAUUUCUUUUCUUAAGCUUUCCUCUCACUUUUCUGUAUAAAAAUCAUGAUCUACGAAGAUCUAACCGUCCAAACUCAAAUCUGUCUUCGGUAACAUGAUCUAUGAAGCCCGAUUUACAUUUUCACCGAUCGUUUUGAGGUAAUGGGUUUCUUGGAACUUGCUUGAGGCCACCCAAACCAUGGGUUUUGGUUUGGUGAAAUUUUGAUAAAUCGAGCUUGUGGUUUUUGGCAAUGGGUUGAUCCCAAAAUGUGUUCACAUGGAGAGAGGGUGGUAGGUCGUUUACGUGAGUGGCAUGGAAGUUUGAUUCAAGAAGCUGAACGAUGUCGUACAAUGGUUGAAACUGAAGUUGCAAAGUUGAAGGCGAAUAUGGGGAUAGAGGAAGCCGAACGAUGCCGACUUAUAGUUGAAGCUGAAGUUGCAAAGUCGAGGGCAAUUAUGGAGAUUGAAAAUGCUGCCCUUCGUAAAGAAAUCGAGAUUCAGGGGAUCAAUUACCAAACAAUGAAGAAGAUUUAUAAGACAAUAAUUGUAUGUACAUGGAUAUUGAUGAUUGUGUAUCUGCUUGUGGCUGGAUCAGAAUCAAAGGGUGUAUUCGAUUCCAAACAUGAUCGUAUGUUGUUACCAUGAAUAUUUAGGGUGAUGAUGUUUAGGGUUUAGGAUGAUGUUUUGGGCAGGGUUUAUGGUGAUGUGUUUAUGGUGAUUUUAUUUUGUACACAUCAUCCAUUUUUUGUAUGUGUUUAUGGUGCUGUUGUUUAGGGUGGUGUUAAAUGUUACUUUAUGUAGACCAUUAUUGGUACAUAAUGGAUGAUGUGGAAAUGAAAAAUAUAUGUGUUGA